rnacentral:rRNA from 1 species
AGAGUUUGAUCCUGGCUCAGAGUGAACGCUGGCGGCGUGGAUUAGGCAUGCAAGUCGCGCGAUCCGUCGCAAGACGGAUAGCGGCAAACGGGUGAGUAACACGUUGGUAACCUGCCCUGGAGUCCGGGAUAACACUGCGAAAGCGGCGCUAAUACCGGAUACGUCUCCGAAACCGCAUGGUUUUGGAGGGAAAGGUGGCGCUCCGGACCGCAAGGAAUGGAGCUAUUACUCUAGGAGGGACCUGCGGCCCAUCAGCUAGUUGGUAGGGUAACGGCCUACCAAGGCGAUUGACGGGUAACUGGCCUGAGAGGGUGGUCAGUCACACUGGGACUGAGACACUGCCCAGACUCCUACGGGAGGCUGCAGUCGAGAAUCUUUCGCAAUGGGGGAAACCCUGAC